rnacentral:rRNA from 1 species
CCUACGGGUGGCAGCAGUGAGGAAUAUUGGUCAAUGGCCGUAAGGCUGAACCAGCCAAGUCGCGUGAAGGAAGAAGGAUCUAUGGUUUGUAAACUUCUUUUAUAUGGGAAUAAAAUGUUCCACGUGUGGGAUUUUGUAUGUACCAUAUGAAUAAGGAUCGGCUAACUCCGUGCCAGCAGCCGCGGUAAUACGGAGGAUCCGAGCGUUAUCCGGAUUUAUUGGGUUUAAAGGGAGCGUAGGUGGGUUGUUAAGUCAGUUGUGAAAGUUUGCGGCUCAACCGUAAAAUUGCAGUUGAAACUGGCAGUCUUGAGUACAGUAGAGGUGGGCGGAAUUCGUGGUGUAGCGGUGAAAUGCUUAGAUAUCACGAAGAACCCCGAUUGCGAAGGCAGCUUACUGGACUGCAACUGACACUGAGGCUCGAAAGUGUGGGUAUCAAACAGGAUUAGAUACCCCAGUAGUC